CACAAUUCCACUCCAAAUAACAAGUGACAGUACUUUUUCAUAAUUUAUUGGGUGUAUUUUCUUUUUUUAUUUGAUGCCGUGUUCAACACUUAUGGACACAAAGCUUCACCAGCAGAUGUCUAAAUUUGCAUUUGUCUUAUCCGCCUAUGUCCAACUAUAUAAAAACUUUUACAAAAUUCAAAUUCAAAUGAAAUAAAACUGAGAAAACUAUCACAAUCACAUUGUCAUCAAAUUAAAGGAAUGAAAACUGCCGCUGUUAAAUGGAUGAGACAUGAUUCUAAUAAUGCAGUGUAGGUUUACGUUUGUUAGUUUUUAAUGACUAUUCAAAUAAAUCAAAGCAGAAAUGGCAAAUUGAGAGGAAACAUAUCUAAGUAGUUGUUUCUGGGUGGGGUUCAGCGGUGGGCCUUUUUUAAACCAUAGCCCAUGAGGCAGGCGAACAACGUCAGCACCAUCUUGGGGUUCACCUCCACCAAGUCAUCUGGAAGAGCGUAAACACGAGCGCCGAUCUUGCGAGCCAAUGAGAUGGCAUAUCUGGAACCGGACAAGAGAGGUCAUUAAUGAGAUGACGACAGUGAUCACUCCUCUCUCUGGUCUCUUCACCAUGUCCCACUUGACUGUACCCGGAGCGAUGGCGUCGAUCAGGUCGAUCACCGGCAGGCUGGUGCUGAUGUCAAGGUCCUGAGGAAACACAGUGUCAGCCAUCAUUCACCCUCACACAAUGGACUUUAACACACACACCUUGAAGCUGCUGAUCUGAGUAUCUUUGUGUUUUUGACUCAGUGUGGUGUUGACCCAGUUGAGGAUGAUCUGCUCUCCGACUCUCUCUCCAUCACCCAGGUUUGAGCAUUUCAAAUGAGGGAAAUCCAGAUACAGUUCCCCCCAGAGCGUCUUCGGUCAGCUCCGGGGUCUUCUCCCGUCUGGCCAUUUACGGAACACUUCACCGGUGUACGGGAGGCAUCCAGACAAGAUGCCCGAGCCACUUCACCUGGCUCCUCUUGAUGUGAACGAGCAGCGGCUCUACUCUGAGAAUGAGUCCAACCACCCUGUGGAGGAAACACUAUGGCCUUCCGGCUUAAGUUGCUCUUCACCUCGACAGUAUGGUGCAGUGACCACAUUGGUGCAGAUGCUGCGCUGAGCCGUCCAUUGACUUCCAACGCUCCAACCUUCCCUCACUCUUGAACAAGACCCCUGUAUCUGGGUCAGGACCUCAUUCCCAACCCAGAGGAUGCAAUCCACCCUUUUCCAACCGAGAGCCCAAGGUCACAGCCCGAUGAGGCCAUCAGGACCACAUCGUCUGCAAUAGCAGAGAUGAGAUACUAAGGCCCCAGAACUGGACUCCCUCAACGUCUUCUGUCCAUGUGCCUUAUUGAAACACAAACAAUUUAUAUUUGCUAAAUUGAGAUCAAUUAUGAGGCUGUAGGUGACACUAAAUGAAGAUCCGUCCACUAUUGGAGAAAACAAACAAAAAUAAUUAAAGUAAAUCAUAAAGUAAAAAGUAAAUCAUAAAAACGUCCCCCUGAGGAAAAACAAACUUGCAAAGCAACCGCUGACAAUUCUCGACAUCACACACACCUCCUCAUGAGCUGCCAAACCAGCGCCAAGGUGUGCAUGGGGCUUCCCUCGUUCAAAUUCUCCCCACCGAUGCCAACGAGGGAGAAGUGAGCCACGUUCCUGCCCAGGCCCACGGCAUAGUUGCAGUUCUCCAGCUUCAAAAUCAAACAAAACAAUGUCUCAUUUAUUUUACCGAUUGCUCCAAUUAGACAUUGGCAAUGUCUUAACCUUCUUCAUAUUUGCCCCCAGGGCGGGGUAAGGUGGCUGGUUGACUUUCUUCCAGUUGACGGGAACGUUGACUUUCUCAUAGAGCUGGAGGAUCACCAGGCCGUCGCAAAGGUCGCUGUGCGGAACAUGAGAUGGACAAAUUGUUUUGUUUGUUUCAGACAUGUUCAUUCAUUCAUUCAUUUUCUACCGCUAAUCCUCAGGAGGGUCGCGGGUGUGCUGGAGCCUAUCCCAGCUGUCUUCGAACGAGAGGCGGGGUACACCCUGGACUGGUGGCCAGCCAUUCACAGGGCACAUAUAGACAAACAACCAUUCACACUCACAUUCAUACCUAUGGACAAUUUCACCAAUUGACCAAGCAUUUUUUUGGAAUGUGGCAGAGUAUGGAAUUGAACUCGGGUCUCCAAGCUGUGUGGCCUGCAUGCUAACCACUCGUCAGCCGUCCAGCCCGUUUCAGACAUGCAGUUAAAAUCAUGGCAAAACCUCAUAAACACACUCUAACAAACAAAACUCGGUGUGGUCUGCAAAUACAAAAAGAAAACCCUUCAAGUAUAUAAAGCACCAUGGUCCCUAGUUUAUCGCAGGGGAUAGGCUCCCAAAAUAGGCCACAAUAAGUGAAAUCUGCGAACCAGCCAACACUAUUUGUUUAUAAUUAUAUAUGUGUUUUAAGGCUGGAAAACCCCUCGCCAUACAGUCGAUACACUUUUCUGAGAAACUCCAGCUCGGCCACGGCUGGAAAUACCAGCAAGACAGUGAUCUAAAACAUAAUGAAUGAUUCAAGGACAAUGAUGUCCGACAUUGUAUGAUAUGUAAAGAACUUGUGUGUAUGUGUAUUUGGUGGCGUAGUUGCAAUUAGAAUGAGCAGAACAAGUGAAAGGUGAGGACCUGUAAUAAAGCUUCACAUUGAUUUAUAUGAGGGCACCGACACGUAACAAAGAGUCAAUGGGUCAUUGUUAAAUAUUAAAGGAAAGCAUGUCGGAGACAGCUGGAAUCAAAGGGAGUU